rnacentral:rRNA from 1 species
UACGAAGGGGGCUAGCGUUGUUCGGAAUCACUGGGCGUAAAGGGCGCGUAGGCGGCCGUUCAAGUCGGGGGUGAAAGCCUGUGGCUCAACCACAGAGUGGCCUUCGAUACUGGACGGCUCGAGACCGGAAGAGGUCAGUGGAACUGCGAGUGUAGAGGUGAAAUUCGUAGAUAUUCGCAAGAACACCAGUGGCGAAGGCGGCUGACUGGUCCGGUUCUGACGCUGAGGCGCGAAAGCGUGGGGAGCAAACAGG